rnacentral:rRNA from 1 species
AGUCGAACGGAUUCAUAUGAGAUUAUAUCAAGUGUGGGUCAGUGGCGGCACUGGUGCGUAACACGUGAACAAUCUGCCGGAAGGAAGGGGAUAGCCCAUGGAAACGUGGAUUAAUACCCUGUGUGGUUCCGAGAGGCAUCUCUCGGCAACUAAACGUGGCGCAAGCUGCGGCCUUCCGAUGAGUUCGCGGCCUAUCAGCUUGUUGGCGGGGUAACGGCCCACCAAGGCGAUGACGGGUAGCUGGUCUGAGAGGAUGACCAGCCACACUGGAACUGAGACACGGUCCAGACACCUACGGGUGGCAGCAGUCGAGAAUCAUUCACAAUGGGCGAAAGCCUGAUGGUGUGACGCCGCGUGGAGGAUGACGGUCUUCGGAUUGUAAACUCCUGUCAUGUGAGAGUAAGAUUCAGGGAGUAACUGCCUGUGAAUUUGAGAGUAUCACAAGAGGAAGAGGCGGCUAACUCUGUGCCAGCAGCCGCGGUAAUACAGAGGCCUCAAGCGUUGUUCGGAAUCACUGGGCGUAAAGGGUGCGUAGGCGGCGCGGAAAGUCAGGGGUGAAAUCCCGGAGCUCAACUCCGGAACUGCCUUUGAUACUCCCGCGCUUGAGAACUGGAGGGGACAUCGGAAUUCACGGUGGAGCAGUGAAAUGCGUGGAUAUCGCGAGGAACACUAGUGGCGAAGGCGGAUGUCUGGACAGUAUCUGACGCUGAGGCACG